UACGGAGGGGGCUAGCGUUGUUCGGAAUUACUGGGCGUAAAGCGCACGUAGGCGGCUUUGUAAGUUAGAGGUGAAAGCCCGGGGCUCAACCCCGGAACUGCCUUUAAGACUGCAUCGCUUGAAUCCAGGAGAGGUGAGUGGAAUUCCGAGUGUAGAGGUGAAAUUCGUAGAUAUUCGGAAGAACACCAGUGGCGAAGGCGGCUCACCGGCCUGGUAUUGACGCUGAGGUGCGAAAGCGUGGGGAGCAAACAGG
rnacentral:rRNA from 1 species